UCUUUAAAUCCUCAGUGACCAGCGGGACGGUGAGGACAGGACACGUGUCCCCGGAGAGACCCUGAGAGACUUGGACACUUUGUGGUGGACUGGACUCCUCGACCUGAACCUUCUUCCUCCUCCAGGUGUGUCCUGCAGCAGGUCUCUGACGUCAGGAGGAGGUGUCCCGGGGAGCAACAUGUCUAAGAAUUGCCCCGAGGACACUUUGGCACUAGAGGAGCCAGGGAUUGAACCAACGUCCUUCUGUAAACAGUCACAGUUCCUUGUUUCCUUCUUGGUGAGGCCUCUCCUCCUCCUCUCCCUCCACGCUGCCCUCUAUCUGCUCAGCUGGGCAAAGCUCUGAAGGUGGCUGCUCCUCCUCCAAAGCCUCAGCAAGUCGGGCCUCCUGCUCCUCCUGCUCCUCCUGCUCCUCCUUCGGAUCCCCCUCAUUGUCGGGGUCCCUCCUUGCUACCUGGUCCUCUGUCUUUUCACAGUCCAUGUCCUUGUCUUCCUCCAGGCUGCCCGGUAGCCCACAUUCAUCCUCCUCGGCCGGGCUGUGGAAAACCUCCUCCCUGUCCCCAUGUUCGUUUGGACUGUUCAAUUCACACGGGGGUGGGCCGCCGCCCCCCAGGACCCCCGCCUCCUCGCCGGCUGACCUCCUGUGCUGCCUCGUGGGCGGGCGUCUCUUGAAUGACAGGCGUGCACGAGUCUGCAUGGGAAAAAGUUAUGAAAGCAAGUGUCAAUUCUCAAUUCAGAAUCAGAAUCAGAUUUUAUUGGCCAAGUAAGUCUACACAAACAAGGAAUUUGACAUGGUGAAGUGGUUCUCAGUGUGCUGGCACAGAAUAUACAUCACAAAAUAAAACAAUACAAUACAAACAGUACGAUAGUCUAGGAAAAAGAAGAAAAGAAUUGCAGGGAUAAAUAUUAAACAGUAUGAUACAGUAGGGUUGAAGUAAAUAAAUAUAUUUAAAUAUAAUUAGGAUAAAAUAUAAUUCGGGGAGUCAUUUUACAGUGGUAUUUAUAAAGAUCCAGGGUUAUUGCACAGUGCCACAGUGGGUUGGCUGUUCAGAAGUGAGACGGCAAGGGGUAAGAAACUGUUUUUGAGUCUGGAGGUUUUGGUAAACAGAGAUCUGUAGCGCCUCCCAGAGGGGAGGCUGGCGCCUGCAGCUGACUGAGAACUGGUGCGGACCACUCGCCCCACUCCACUGUUUCACUCAUUACAUGCGAUAACAACAUAAGAUUAGGCCAAAGUUACACAUGUAGACAUGAUAUCAGCCUACAUGUGGUGUUAUACUCUUGUUUUGUUUUGUAAAACCACUCCUUGCUUCUCUAAUGCUGUGAACAACAGGUACAAUGUUCAUAAAACAUGUUGAAAAGAAUUUAAUAGUUACAUUUAUAAACAAUGUAGAUCAUAAAUAGUAAGUUUUGCCAUUACAGUGUUAACAGUUAAAUAUGUCAGGUCAAGAAAGACUGUCUUUAUUUUAUUUUAGAAAAACAAGUAUUUAUGUUAAGUGAAGUCAAGAAAGACUGUAUUUAUUUUAUUUUUAUAAAAACAUGUAUUUUUUCAGGAAAUAGUUUUUAAGUUCAACU